rnacentral:rRNA from 1 species
GACGUAGGGCGCGAGCGUUGUCCGGAUUUAUUGGGCGUAAAGAGCUCGUAGGCGGCUCGUUGCGUCAACCGUGAAAACCCGGGGCUCAACUCCGGGCCUGCAGUCGAUACGGGCUGGCUUGAGUGCGGUAGGGGAGACUGGAAUUCCUGGUGUAGCGGUGAAAUGCGCAGAUAUCAGGAGGAACGCCGGUGGCGAAGGCGGGUCUCUGGGCCGUAACUGACGCUGAGGAGCGAAAGCGUGGGGAGCGAACAGG